GACGAACGCUGGCGGCGUGCCUAAUACAUGCAAGUAGAACGCUGAAGGAGGAGCUUGCUUCUCUGGAUGAGUUGCGAACGGGUGAGUAACGCGUAGGUAACCUGCCUGGUAGCGGGGGAUAACUAUUGGAAACGAUAGCUAAUACCGCAUAAGAGUAGAUGUUGCAUGACAUUUGCUUAAAAGGUGCAAUUGCAUCACUACCAGAUGGACCUGCGUUGUAUUAGCUAGUUGGUGGGGUAACGGCUCACCAAGGCGACGAUACAUAGCCGACCUGAGAGGGGGAUCGGCCACACUGGGACUGAGACACGGCCCAGACUCCUACGGGAGGCAGCAGUAGGGAAUCUUCGGCAAUGGACGGAAGUCUGACCGAGCAACGCCGCGUGAGUGAAGAAGGUUUUCGGAUCGUAAAGCUCUGUUGUAAGAGAAGAACGAGUGUGAGAGUGGAAAGUUCACACUGUGACGGUAGCUUACCAGAAAGGGACGGCUAACUACGUG
rnacentral:rRNA from 1 species